rnacentral:rRNA from 1 species
UACGGGGGGGGCAAGCGUUGUUCGGAAUUACUGGGCGUAAAGGGCUCGUAGGCGGCCAACUAAGUCCGACGUGAAAUCCCCAGGCUUAACCUGGGAACUGCGUCGGAUACUGGAUGGCUUGAAUCCGGGAGAGGGAGGCGGAAUUCCAGGUGUAGCGGUGAAAUGCGUAGAUAUCUGGAGGAACACCGGUGGCGAAGGCGGCAUCCUGGACCGGCAUUGACGCUGAGGAGCGAAAGCCAGGGGAGCAAACGGG